rnacentral:rRNA from 1 species
UACGAAGGGUGCAAACGUUGCUCGGAAUUACUGGGCGUAAAGGGCGCGUAGGCGGUCUUGUAAGUCUCGUGUGAAAUCCCUCGGCUUAACUGAGGAACUGCACGGGAUACUGCAUGACUUGAGGUCGGGAGAGGGAAGCGGAAUUCCGGGUGUAGCGGUGAAAUGCGUAGAUAUCCGGAGGAACACCGGUGGCGAAGGCGGCUUCCUGGACCGACUCUGACGCUGAGGCGCGAAAGCUAGGGGAGCAAACGGG